rnacentral:rRNA from 1 species
AGAACUUGAAACCGUGUGCUUACAAGUAGUCAGAGCCCGUUAAUGGGUGAUGGCGUGCCUUUUGUAGAAUGAACCGGCGAGUUACGAUCUGAUGCAAGGUUAAGCAGCAAAUGUGGAGCCGCAGCGAAAGCGAGUCUGAAUAGGGCGUUGAGUAUUUGGUCGUAGACCCGAAACCAGGUGAUCUACCCUUGGUCAGGUUGAAGUUCAGGUAACACUGAAUGGAGGACCGAACCGACUUACGUUGAAAAGUGAGCGGAUGAACUGAGGGUAGCGGAGAAAUUCCAAUCGAACUUGGAGAUAGCUGGUUCUCUCCGAAAUAGCUUUAGGGCUAGCCUCAAGUGAUGAUUAUUGGAGGUAGAGCACUGUUUGGACGAGGGGCCCCUCUCGGGUUACCGAAUUCAGACAAACUCCGAAUGCCAAUUAAUUUAACUUGGGAGUCAGAACAUGGGUGAUAAGGUCCGUGUUCGAAAGGGAAACAGCCCAGACCACCAGCUAAGGUCCCAAAAUAUAUGUUAAGUGGAAAAGGAUGUGGCGUUGCCCAGACAACUAGGAUGUUGGCUUAGAAGCAGCCAUCAUUUAAAGAGUGCGUAAUAGCUCACUAGUCGAGUGACACUGCGCCGAAAAUGUACCGGGGCUAAACAUAUUACCGAAGCUGUGGAUUGUCCUUUGGACAAUGGUAGGAGAGCGUUCUAAGGGCGUCGAAGCAUGAUCGCAAGGACAUGUGGAGCGCUUAGAAGUGAGAAUGCCGGUGUGAGUAGCGAAAGACGGGUGAGAAUCCCGUCCACCGAUUGACUAAGGUUUCCAGAGGAAGGCUCGUCCGCUCUGGGUUAGUCGGGUCCUAAGCUGAGGCCGACAGGCGUAGGCGAUGGAUAACAGGUUGAUAUUCCUGUACCACCUAGUAUCGUUUUAAUCGAUGGGGGGACGCAGUAGGAUAGGCGAAGCGUGCUGUUGGAGUGCACGUCCAAGCAGUAAGGCUGAGUGUUAGGCAAAUCCGGCACUCAUAAGGCUGAGCUGUGAUGGGGAGAGGAAAUUGUUUCCUCGAGUCGUUGAUUUCACACUGCCGAGAAAAGCCUCUAGAUAGAUAACAGGUGCCCGUACCGCAAACCGACACAGGUAGUCAAGAUGAGAAUUCUAAGGUGAGCGAGCGAACUCUCGUUAAGGAACUCGGCAAAAUGACCCCGUAACUUCGGGAGAAGGGGUGCUCUUUAGGGUUCACGCCCAGAAGAGCCGCAGUGAAUAGGCCCAAGCGACUGUUUAUCAAAAACACAGGUCUCUGCUAAACCGUAAGGUGAUGUAUAGGGGCUGACGCCUGCCCGGUGCUGGAAGGUUAAGAGGAGUGGUUAGCUUCUGCGAAGCUACGAAUCGAAGCCCCAGUAAACGGCGGCCGUAACUAUAACGGUCCUAAGGUAGCGAAAUUCCUUGUCGGGUAAGUUCCGACCCGCACGAAAGGCGUAACGAUUUGGGCACUGUCUCAACGAGAGACUCGGUGAAAUCAUAGUACCUGUGAAGAUGCAGGUUACCCGCGACAGGACGGAAAGACCCCGUGGAGCUUUACUGUAGCCUGAUAUUGAAAUUCGGCACAGCUUGUACAGGAUAGGUAGGAGCCUUUGAAACGUGAGCGCUAGCUUACGUGGAGGCGUUGGUGGGAUACUACCCUAGCUGUGUUGGCUUUCUAACCCGCACCACUUAUCGUGGUGGGAGACAGUGUCAGGCGGGCAGUUUGACUGGGGCGGUCGCCUCCUAAAAGGUAACGGAGGCGCUCAAAGGUUCCCUCAGAAUGGUUGGAAAUCAUUCAUAGAGUGUAAAGGCAUAAGGGGGCUUGACUGCGAGACCUACAAGUCGAGCAGGGUCGAAAGACGGACUUAGUGAUCCGGUGGUUCCGCAUGGAAGGGCC